AGAACUCACGCUGGUUGACGUGCCUAACACAUGCAAGUCGAACGCGAAAGCCCCGCAAUGGGUAAGUAGAGUGGCAAACGGGUGAGUAACACGUGGGUGACCUGCCUUCGAGUGGGGGAUAACGUCCCGAAAGGGACGCUAAUACCGCAUGACAUCCUGCCUUUGGAGAGGCGGAGAUCAAAGCUGGGGAUCGAAAGACCUGGCGCUUGAAGAGGGGCCCGCGCCUGAUUAGCUAGUUGGUGGGGUAACGGCUCACCAAGGCAACGAUCAGUAUCCGGCCUGAGAGGGCGGACGGACACACUGGGACUGAGACACGGCCCAGACUCCUACGGGAGGCAGCAGUGGGGGAUCUUGCGCUAAUGCGCGAAAGCGUGACGCAGCGACGCCGCGUGGGGGAUGAAGGCCCUCGGGUUGUAAACCCCUUUCGGCAGGGACGAAGCGAGAGUGACGGUACCUGCAGAAGAAGUCCCGGCUAACUACGUGCCAGCAGCCGCGGUAACACGUAGGGGACGAGCGUUGUCCGGAUUCAUUGGGCGUAAAGCGCGCGUAGGCGGCUCGGAAAGUCGGUCGUGAAAUGCCGGGGCUCAACCCCGGGACUGCGUCCGAUACUCUCGAGCUGGAGGCAGGUAGGGGAGAUCGGAAUUCCUGGUGUAGCGGUGAAAUGCGCAGAUAUCAGGAGGAACACCGGUGGCGAAGGCGGAUCUCUGGGCCUUGCCUGACGCUGAGGCGCGAAAGCUAGGGGAGCGAACAGGAUUAGAUACCCUGGUAGUCCUAGCCGUAAACGUUGGGUGCUAGGUGUGGGCGGAUAUCGACCCCGUCCGUGCCGAAGCUAACGCAUUAAGCACCCCGCCUGGGGAGUACGGCCGCAAGGCUAAAACUCAAAGGAAUUGACGGGGGCCCGCACAAGCGGCGGAGCAUGCGGCUUAAUUCGAUGCGACGCGAAGAACCUUACCUGGGCUUGACAUGCAGGGCAAAGCCGGUGAAAGCCGGCGCUCUACGGAGCCUGCACAGGUGGUGCAUGGCUGUCGUCAGCUCGUGCCGUGAGGUGUUGCCUUAAGUGGCGCAACGAGCGCAACCCUUGUCCCUAGUUGCCAGCGGGUCAUGCCGGGAACUCUAGGGAGACUGCCGGUGCCAAACCGGAGGAAGGUGGGGAUGACGUCAAGUCAUCAUGCCCCUUAUGUCCAGGGCUGCACGCAUGCUACAAUGCGCGGUACAAAGGGCUGCAAACCCGUAAGGGGGAGCGAAUCCCAAAAAGCCGCGCUCAGUUCGGAUCGGGGUCUGCAACCCGACCCCGUGAAGUCGGAGUCGCUAGUAAUCGCAGAUCAGCAAUGCUGCGGUGAUACAAUCCCGGCGUGACUCAC
rnacentral:rRNA from 1 species